GUCUGUGCUUUGAUUUGUAGAACUUUUCCUGAACAUUGGGCUUGCCUGGAGAUGACAUUGAAAAGUUCCCAUAUUACAGGCAGACAGCUGAAUGCCCUCAAGCUGAAACCUUUGCACUGCUAUUACAGCUCUGGUAUCCUGUAGCAAGUAAGAACAUAACAUUACAACUGUUCACACGUGGGAGAUGGAGGAACUGCAUUAAAUGCCCAUCAGAUAGGAAGACUUGGUGUGAGAACCAUAUGGAAGGGAAGAAGUAUCCUAGACCCAAGAUGCAAGUUUAUGGAUUGCAAGACAGGAGGCCCAAUACUGAAACAGCAUCUCACAAAAGUGCCAUGGAUUUCUGUAGCCUAAAUAUCCUGAAAACUGUCCAACACUUGUCCUUCUCACACUUGACAGCAAGGACUCUUUCUGCUUUUCCUCCAGGCCUGGUGGCCAUGUCACAUGGGGCUCAAGCUUUCUGGCAUUUCAAGCAGAAGUGGAAGAAGUUUAAUGGACAAUGAUUGCUGUCAAGCCCUGCAGGGACAGGUUUCAAGUGGCAGCUAUGUGGGAUAAAUGCAGCAUGUGGAAUACAGGGCCUGAGGGAUGCUCAGCACCCAGCAUUACAGGAUUCUGCCUUUUUCUUGUCUUUGGUGAGUCUGCCUGGGUGAAUGAGGCUUACCUGUGGGAGUUGUAAAGUAUGUUGCUAAGUUUAUUUUUGGUGUUUCUUUUAAAAGUCUUCUGUGCCUGUUGCCAAACAUAAGAUGUUUGUUUUCAGACUCUAACUUCUCAGGUAAAGCUGUCAUGUUUAUUCUGACUCACUACAUCAACACAUAAACAUGAGAUUUUUGUUUACAUUUAUUACUCUUUGUGUAUCUUUAUAUAGCCUGGAAAUAUUUUUGUCAAGGCUUUAUUCAUUUCCAGUGUAUGAAAGAAUGAGGGAAAAAAGUGCCACUACAUAACCUAAUCUCAGAAGUUGUAUUUGAACAAUAUGUUGGCUGUGGCACAGGAGGAUACAGUUAAACCUGAGGCAGGUUUGGGUUUACUGCUUCUGGUACAACUAACAACCUUAGCUUUGACCAUCACUUGACAUUAAAAAUAAUUUUCCACUUUUCAACAUGAAAGCUGUGAGUCAUCCCUGAAAUGAGUAUUGCCUGUGUGGUGCAUUUGAGGAAUGGUUUGGGGCAGGUUAACUUGGUUCUAUAAUCUAUCAUCCACUUUGCAGUGCUUUAAUGUACUAACAUUUUCACAGGCUGCAGACAGUGGCUCUCUGCUCAGAUUAACCACAAGCUCAUUCUGCUUCACCACAGUUUGACCUCUCUGAUGUGAAUGUGGCUACACAUUAAUGUGUUUGCAGACUGUGAAUGUAUAUUUGGCUAUAGAUGUGUCAAGGCAUGCAUAGCACAGAAAUUGUUUUUAUUUUUAAAUGUGUUUGGUUUUGACUGUGAUCUGGCUGGUCGUUUAUUCCUGGUAAAUGAUUUUUGUGGUGUCAGUCAUUUGUGGAGUGCUGUUAAAUAUUGGUCC
rnacentral:lncRNA from 1 species